rnacentral:rRNA from 1 species
GACGAACGCUGGCGGCGUGCUUAACACAUGCAAGUCGAACGCUGGAGCGCAGCUUUUGUUUGGUGGAUGAGUGGCGAACAGGUGAGUAACACGCGAGUAACCUGCCCCCUUCUUUGGGAUAUAGCCCGGGAACGGGGUCUAAUACUGCAUAUUCACUGGUCUUCGCAUGGGGGUUGGUGGAAAGGGUUGUUCUGGUGGGGGAUGGGCUCGCGGCCUAUCAGCUUGUUGGUGGGGUGAUGGCCUACCAAGGCUUUGACGGGUAGCCGGCCGGAGAGGGUGAACGGUCACAUUGGGACUGAGAUACGGCCCAGACUCCUACGGGAGGCAGCAGUGGGGAAUAUUGCACAAUGGGCGCAAGCCGGAUGCAGCGACGCCGCGUGAGGGAUGGAGGCCUUCGGGUUGUGAACCUCUUUCGCUCAUGGUCAAGCCGCAACAAUGGUUGUGGUGAGGGUAGUGGGUAAAGAAGCGCCGGCUAACUACGU